GUCUAAAGCCAUACCACCCUGAACACGCCUGAUCUCGUCUGACCUCGGAAGCUAAGCAGGGUUCAGCCCUGGUUAGUACUUGGAUGGGAGACAAAGAAUAACAUCGUUUCUACAUACA
ensembl:rRNA 5S_rRNA 5S ribosomal RNA